UACAGAGGGGGCAAGCGUUGUUCGGAGUUACUGGGCGUAAAGGGCGUGCAGGCGGUCUGUUAAGUCUGGCGUGAAAGCUCUCGGCUAAACCGGGAGAGGUCGUUGGAUACUGACGGACUAGAGGACGGUAGAGGCGUGUGGAAUUCCGGGUGUAGUGGUGAAAUGCGUAGAGAUCCGGAGGAACACCAGUGGCGAAGGCGACACGCUGGGCCGUACCUGACGCUAAGACGCGACAGCAUGGGGAGCGAACGGG
rnacentral:rRNA from 1 species